rnacentral:rRNA from 1 species
UUAAAAUUUUGGCCCUCCCGGGGUCGAAGUUGUUAAUUUAUAGAGAGUGCUUCGGGUGAGAUCACGGUCUAAGUUCAUUGGGAACACGGCGUCAUAGAGGGUGAGAAUCCCGUAUGUGACUGUGGAUCGAGCCCNAUGUGAAAACCUCUUCGAUGAGUCGAGUUGUUUGGGAAUGCAGCUCAAAAUGGGUGGUAAAUUUCAUCUAAAGCUAAAUACUGGCUGGAGACCGAUAGCGCACAAGUAGAGUGAUCGAAAGAUGAAAAGCACUUUGGAAAGAGAGUCAAACAGUACGUGAAAUUGUUGAAAGGGAAGCGCUUGCAACCAGACCUGUCCGUAGGUGAUCAGCCGCUGUUCUCAGUGGUGCACUCGCUCUGCGAUCAGGCCAGCAUCGGUUCGGGCGGUCGGAUAAAGGCCUUGGGAAUGUAGCUCCCUUCGGGGAGUCUUAUAGCCCUCGGUGUAAUGCGGCCAGCCGGGACCGAGGACCGCGCUUCGGCUAGGAUGCUGGCGUAAUGGUUGUAAGCGACCCGUCUUGAAACACGGACCAAGGAGUCUAACAUCUAUGCGAGUGUUUGGGUGUUAAACCCACGCGCGGAAUGAAAGUGAACGGAGGUGAGAACCCUUAAGGGCGCAUCAUCGACCGAUCCAGAUGUCUUCGGAUGGAUUUGAGUAUGAGCAUAGCUGUUGGGACCCGAAAGAUGGUGAACUAUGCCUGAAUAGGGUGAAGCCAGAGGAAACUCUGGUGGAGGCUCGCAGCGGUUCUGACGUGCAAAUCGAUCGU